UUAUUAAACUAGGGAUUGAUACCCUAUUAUUCUAAAUAAGAUAUAAUAUACAUUGGAGAUUAAAUGUUAAUCAUUAAAUUUAAAUAAUUUGGCGGUAUCUUAGAGAGUUAGAGGAAUCUGUUAAUUAAAUGAUAAUCCACGAUAGGGGUGUCCUAAUAUAUUUUUAUGUAUUGUUGUUUUAAUGUUGAUUUAGGAGAAUUUAAUAGAGAUUUAGAAUAUUAGUAUAAUUCAAAUCAAAGUGUAGAGUUGUUAGGUUUAAAUGGAUUACAAUUUAAUUUAAUAGUAGAGUUUAAGUUUUAAGUAUUUAAAUGAAAGAGGAUUUAAUAGUAAGAUGAUGGAAUAUUGUGAUCUGAAUAUUAAUUAAGAUAUGUACAAAUUG
rnacentral:rRNA from 1 species